rnacentral:rRNA from 1 species
GUCAUGGUCAGGAUGAACGCUAGCGACAGGCUUAACACAUGCAAGUCGAGGGGCAGCGAGGGAGUGGCAACACUUCCGUCGGCGACCGGCGCACGGGUGAGUAACGCGUAUGCAACCUGCCCUUCACAGGGGGAUAACCGGGAGAAAUUCCGACUAAUACCGCAUACGUCCUCCGGGGGCAUCCCCGGGGGAUGAAAGAAUUAUCGGUGAAGGAUGGGCAUGCGUGAUAUUAGGUAGUUGGCGGGGCAACGG